rnacentral:rRNA from 1 species
GACGAACGCUGGCGGCGUGCUUAACACAUGCAAGUCGAACGAAAAGAGGGAAAGAGCUUGCUCUUUCCGGAAUUGAGUGGCAAACGGGUGAGUAACACGUAAACAACCUGCCUUCAGGAUGGGGACAACAGACGGAAACGACUGCUAUACCGAAUAAGUUCCAAGGGCCGCAUGGCCCAUGGAAGAAAAGGUGGCCUCUACCUGUAAGCUAUCGCCUGAAGAGGGGUUUGCGUCUGAUUAGCUGGUUGGAGGGGUAACGGCCCACCAAGGCGACGAUCAGUAGGCGGGCUGAGAGGAGGAAAGGCCACACUGGAACUGAGACACGGGCCAGGACUCUACGGGAGGCAGCAGUGGGGAAUCUUCCGCAAUGGGCGAAAGCCUGACGGAGCAACGCCGCGUGAGUGAUGACGGCCUUCGGGUUGUAAAACUCUGUGAUCCGGGACGAAAAGGCAGAGUGCGAAGAACAAACUGCAUUGACGGUACCGGAAAAGCAAGCCACGGCUAACUACGUG